rnacentral:rRNA from 1 species
UCGAGGAUCAUUUGCAAUGGGCGAAAGCCUGACAAUGCGACGCUGCGUGGAGGAUGAAGGCCUUCGGGUUGUAAACUCCUGUCAUAAGGGAACAGGCGAGGGUACCCAACACGUACCUGAGUUGAGUGUACUUUAAGAGGAAGCGACGGCUAACUCUGUGCCAGCAGCCGCGGUAAUACAGAGGUCGCAAGCGUUGUUCGGAUUUACUGGGCGUAAAGGGCGCGUAGGCGGUCCUGUGUGUCGGAUGUGAAAUCUCCGGGCUCAACCCGGAAAGUGCGUCCGAAACUGCAGGACUGGAGUCUGGAAGAGGGAAUCGGAAUACAGGGUGUAGCGGUGAAAUGCGUUGAUAUCCUGUAGAACACCGGAGGCGAAGGCGGAUUCCUUGUACGGUACUGACGC